ACAGCUGCAAGAGCUUCCAGCAACAUCCUGGCAGGAAGAGAAGAAUAUGAGCUUUCACGAACUGUCUACCACACUGUGGUUAAAAUCAGAAGAGAGCUGAAUAAAGGCAACGUGGGCACCAGGAGCAUCUGUCUAAGAUUAGGAUAUCAAAGCAUAGGGAAGAAGAAAAGAGAUGGGAAAGAAACCUAGAAUCUGAGUUGACGGAAAUGCUCAAGGGACUCCACAGAAGCAGAAUGUGAAAUAUUCAGCUCAACAGUUCAUCUGCUAUAAAGCUGAGCAGUAACCUCCCUUUCUAUUACCCUAUGUCUUCGGUAAUAUUGACAACUUACACAAAUGCCUUGUGUCCUUGAUAGUUCUCACUGGGAGCAACUAGGUGAGGAAAAAGAUAAGAAUUCUCAAAAUGGCUAAAUAUGUCAUUUCCUGCAUUUUGUUGGCAAAAUUAAAGACUCCAAGCCAGAAAAGAUUAGAAAAAAUGCAAGCCACACUUUUAUCUGUGUUUCCUGCCUGUGCUGCUCCCCCUCCCAAUCUUUUACCCCCAGUGGGAAGAGGUUCUAGCUAAUAUCACCUGAUUCUUAAAAAUCAAGCUGCCUCAAAGGACACAUGAGCUACAAAAGUGAAGUUGAAAUAUAGGUGCCAUCCUAUCCACAAUAGCAAAGACUUGGAACCAACCCAAAUGUCCAUCAAUGAUAGACU
ensembl:lncRNA novel transcript